rnacentral:rRNA from 1 species
UACGGGGGGGGCAAGCGUUGUUCGGAAUUACUGGGCGUAAAGGGCUCGUAGGCGGCCAACUAAGUCAGACGUGAAAUCCCUCGGCUUAACCGGGGAACUGCGUCUGAUACUGGAUGGCUUGAGGUUGGGAGAGGGAUGCGGAAUUCCAGGUGUAGCGGUGAAAUGCGUAGUUAUCUGGAGGAACACCGGUGGCGAAGGCGGCAUCCUGGACCGAUUCUGACGCUGAGGAGCGAAAGCCAGGGGAGCAAACGGG